rnacentral:rRNA from 1 species
UACGAAGGGGGCUAGCGUUGUUCGGAAUUACUGGGCGUAAAGCGCGUGUAGGCGGCUAUGCAAGUCGGAUGUGGAAGCCCUCGGCUCAACCGGGGAAGUGCACCCGAAACUGCAAAGCUAGAGUCUCGGAGAGGAGACUGGAAUUUACGGUGUAGCGGUGAAAUGCGUAGAUAUCGUAAGGAAGACCAGUAGCGAAGGCGGGUCUCUGGACAGUUCCUGACGCUGAGGCACGAAGGCCAGGGGAGCAAACGGG